rnacentral:rRNA from 1 species
GUAGCGAAAUUCCUUGUCGGGUAAGUUCCGACCUGCACGAAUGGCGUAACGACUUCCCCACUGUCUCCAACAUCGACUCAGCGAAAUUGAAUUGCCCGUGAAGAUGCGGGCUACCCGCGGUUAGACGGAAAGACCCCGUGCACCUUUACUACAGCUUUACAUUGGCAUUAGUGACGACAUGUGUAGGAUAGGUGGUAGACUUUGAAGCCCGGGCGCCAGCUCGAGUGGAGUCACCCUUGAAAUACCACCCUUGUCCUUAUUGAUGUCUAACCACGGCGCUACAACGCCUGGGACAAUGUGUGGUGGGUAGUUUGACUGGGGCGGUCGCCUCC